GGCAAUUGUAUGUUCCAUAUUGACGCGCUUUUGUGAUUACGAUAAUAACAUCAACGGCAAAAAUUGAGACAACAGCAGAUCAGCCGGGAAGGAUAGGAUACAGAAAUACAGUAGAGAAAAUAUCGGUUUACCAGCCACUUGCAGAAAGUCUUAAAGUUACAGAAAGAGACGAUUGUAACGACAAGUCAGAGAUGGCGGAUCCUUUUCGAAUCAUCUACGGAUUGCUAUUGUUCAUGUAUCUAAAAAUGGAUCCCACCAGAACACAAAGACUAAGUAUAAGUCUAUGAGGAAAAUAAUGUUUUAGAUCAACGACUAAAAAUUGUCAUGAACAGAUAAAAUAUGAGAUAGAGAUAGAACUGGUAUGAAAGGUGACAGUAGAACAUUGAAAUAAUUUGAAAAGAAACAAGUUGGCAAAGAUAUAUAUCACAUGCAUAGGAAGAGCAAUGGAAAAUAACAUUGAAGCAGAAUUAUGAAACAGUUAUUAAAAAAAACCCAUUAAAUUGAGAGAGAGAAAAACACAUUUUUUUUUAACUUUUUAAUGCUGUUCAUUCUUAAGAUUACUGUUUAUUGUAUUUCGAUGGAAGUUAUUGCAGUUGAUAAGAAGAUAGAACAAAAAAUUGAGUUCUUCAUCUUGUUUUAUUCAGUCAAUAAAAAUUAAUUUUUAAAAGCAAACAAUACAUGUUCAAAAAUCAAAAAGGUUAAUUAUGUACCAAAUGACCUCCGUCAGACAUUAAUCAGUCUGUUGGAAAUCUUUCUUUAAAUUUUUAUGCUUAUUUUACAAAAUGUUCCUCUGUUUGUAUGUCUGUAAGAUUCAAAUCAAUCAGAGAUUUCUAAGGAACUACAAACCAAGAGUUUCUGAAAGUCAUCAGUCCUCAUGUGAACAUGCUAUACUGAGUAAUGUAGUUCUCACCCUUUCAACUCCUCGUUAACGGGAUGCCUAAAUAUAGUAACACCAAAUUUCAUAUAUUAUUUUCGUAAAAUACGCUGUGCAGUUUUAUAGGAAAGAGUACAAGAGUUAUGCAUACAUGUAUUUAAGUUACUAUUCACAAUACACUCAUUACAAGUGAAUGAAAUUGCAGCAUGAUUAAUGUAUACAAAAAAAAAGAAAUCUGUCAAUAAAUGUAUUUAACUAUUAAAAAUCUUACAAUGAGCAUAUGAUUGGAAAUUUAUUUAUGAGAAGUUAGACUAAAAAAAGUGGUCGUAUUCUGAAUAUUCGCUCAGCUCACAGUAAAAGGAGAAAAACAUACACUGUCCAGUCUGAAGGUACCUGUUCAUGUAGGGGGACAUGUCUUAUAGCAGAUUCUCUCCUUGUGGUGAACUAGCAUGUUAAAAAGGAGCUCAGUGCAUUAUUGGUCUAGUUCUGUACAAAAUAUGUUAAUUACAUUGUAUUUAUAUCUGAGUAUCAUGUCCUCUUCCUGCACUUAACUUGCCACUGGAUCACAUAACAUCAAUCCAUCCACCCAUCUUCUCAAAAGUAAUAUAUCGAGUUCCAAUGUUCAAUAUGUUCUGAUUUGACUCAAGCAAGAUAUAAAUACAUGUAAUAUGGUAUUGUCAAAUAGAAGUAUUAAUAAGUA